rnacentral:snoRNA from 1 species
CGAUUUGAAUGAUGAGAAAUUUUUUUCAAAUAUUAAUACAGUUAUCCCUGUCUUAAUAAAUUAUGUCGAGAAUACUUAAUCUGAAACAAAA